rnacentral:rRNA from 1 species
GUGGGGAAUCUUGCGCAAUGGGCGAAAGCCUGACGCAGCCAUGCCGCGUGAAUGAUGAAGGUCUUAGGAUUGUAAAAUUCUUUCACCGGGGACGAUAAUGACGGUACCCGGAGAAGAAGCCCCGGCUAACUUCGUGCCAGCAGCCGCGGUAAUACGAAGGGGGCUAGCGUUGCUCGGAAUUACUGGGCGUAAAGGGCGCGUAGGCGGAUCGUUAAGUCAGGGGUGAAAUCCCAGAGCUCAACUCUGGAACUGACCUUGAUACUGGCGAUGUUGAGUGUGAGAGAGGUAUGUGGAACUCCGAGUGUAGAGGUGAAAUUCGUAGAUAUUCGGAAGAACACCAGUGGCGAAGGCGACAUACUGGCUCAUUACUGACGCUGAGGCGCGAAAGCGUGGGGAGCAAACAGGAUUAGAUACCCGGGUAGUCC